rnacentral:rRNA from 1 species
AACGUAGGUCCCGAGCGUUAUCCGGAUUUACUGGGCGUAAAGCGUGUUCAGGCGGUCUAGCAAGUCGGGCAUGAAAUCUCUCGGCUCAACCGGGAGGGGUUGUCCGAUACUGCUGGGCUUGAGGGCAGCAGAGGGUGGUGGAAUUCCGGGUGUAGUGGUGAAAUGCGUAGAUAUCCGGAGGAACACCAGUGGCGAAGGCGGCUCACUGGGGAUUUUCUGACGCUGAGGAACGAAAGCCAGGGGAGCAAACGGG